UACGUAGGGUGCAAGCGUUGUCCGGAAUUAUUGGGCGUAAAGAGCUCGUAGGCGGUUUGCCGCGUCUAAUGUGAAAACCCGGGGCUCAACUCCGGGCCUGCAUUCGAUACGGGCAGACUAGAGUUCGGUAGGGGAGACUGGAAUUCCUGGUGUAGCGGUGAAAUGCGCAGAUAUCUGGAGGAACACCGGUGGCGAAGGCGGCAUCCUGGACCGAUACUGACGCUGAGGAGCGAAAGCCAGGGGAGCAAACGGG
rnacentral:rRNA from 1 species